rnacentral:lncRNA from 1 species
GACCAUCUCGCCACCCCCCGCUCUCUGUUUUCUCUAUUUUUCCUAGAAGAGACUCUAUUCCUUAAAUAGAUAUAGAAAGGGUAGAGACAAAUCCCCUGAGACAGGGUUUCAGGUAUGAAAAAUCAAUUCAUAGACCUGGUUAACAAUUAUUAACUUAUUUUCUUGGUAAUCAAAGAUCCUGCUGCAGGGUCUUGGUUCAUCUUAAACGCACCUGCUGUUCCUACCACAGUUCAUCUCUUGAUUUUUCCCUGUACGCUGAAAUGCAGCUCUAAUUUGUGGACACUUGAUGAGGAGUUCCAAAUUCUCUUCCUCCCACUUGCCUCUCACUCAUCCACUGAGAAGGUAAGAAAAGCAAAUCCUACUGCAAACCUGCAAAACAAAUUCCCAUAUUAGUCAUUCCAAGUAUAGGUAACUCCAUUGGCAUAGGGAAUUCCUAGAGGAGGAAAUUCACUCUACCAAGCUAGGUGAUAUCCUUGGAAACAAGAAGACCUGGGUUCAAAUUUUGACUUAAACACAAUCUAUUUGACCCUGGAAAAAUCAAUUUCCCCAACUUUGGCAAAAUGGUAUAACUUUUACCUCACAAGGUUGAAGUGAAGUCAAAAUGAGGUGUUGA